CAGCCGCCGCGGUAAUACCAGCACCUCAAGUGGUCAGGAUGAUUAUUGGGCCUAAAGCAUCCGUAGCCGGCUCAGUAAGUUUUCGGUUAAAUCUGUGCGCUCAACGUACAGGCUGCCGGGAAUACUGCAGAGCUAGGGAGUGGGAGAGGUAGACGGUACUCGGGAGGAAGUGGUAAAAUGCUUUGAUCUUUCGAUGACCACCUGUGGCGAAGGCGGUCUACCAGAACACGUCCGACAGUGAGGGAUGAAAGCUGGGGGAGCAAACCGGAUUAGAUACCCGGGUAGUCCCAGCUGUAAACUAUGCAAACUCAGUGAUGCAUUGGCUUGUGGCCAAUGCAGUGUUGCAGGGAAGCCGUUAAGUUUGCCGCCUGGGAAGUACGUACGCAAGUAUGAAACUUAAAAGAAUUGGCGGGGGAGCACCACAAGGGGUGAAGCCUGCGGUUCAAUUGGAGUCAACGCCAGAAAUCUUACCCGGAGAGACAGCAGAAUGAAGGUCAAGCUGAAGACUUUACCAGACAAGCUGAGAGGUGGUGCAUGGCCGUCGCCAGCUCGUGCCGUGAGAUGUCCUGUUAAGUCAGGUAACGAGCGAGAUCCCUGCCUCUAGUUGCCACCAUUACUCUCAGGAGUAGUGGGGCGAAUUAGCGGGACCGCCGCAGUUAAUGCGGAGGAAGGAAGGGGCCACGGCAGGUCAGUAUGCCCCGAAACUCUGGGGCCACACGCGGGCUGCAAUGGUAAUGACAACGGGUCUCGAAUCCGAAAGGAAGAGGUAAUCCUCAAACAUUACCACAGUUAUGACUGAGGGCUGUAACUCGCCCUCACGAAUAUGGAAUCCCUAGUAACUGCGUGUCAUUAUCGCGCGGUGAAUACGUCCCUGCUCCUUGCACACACCGCCCGUCGUUUCAUUGAAGUGAGCUUUUAGUGAGGUGACGUCUGAUUGGCGUUAUCGAACUUGAGGUUCGUGACAAGGGAAAAGUCGUAACAAGGUAACCGUA
rnacentral:rRNA from 1 species